GCGAGAGCAGAAGGGCAGAGCUCCAGCCGCGCCGGGCUGGGGAGCUCCUCUGUGCAGAGCACACGCUGCUGGCUUCAUUUUGGGGGGUCUCCUCAAAGAUCCUGAUGCAGGCACUUGGGUGAAAGUUUUCAUUUCCUUGGACUGUAAAUGUUCUUUGGAGCCUCAGGCAGUUCCCUGCAGCAGAACUUGGAGGAGAAACUUGUCAAAAACUCUCUGCUUGGACAGCAGCCCUGGAGUGUGAGUGUGUGGGGCCCCUGCAUGAGCCCUGUGCCCACAGCAGGGCAGGCAGCAGCCCCUGAGCCUGGCAAUGCAGAGCCCCUGCUCCCAGGGAGCUUCCUUUGCCUCACGAGGAGAUACUGGAGGUAAAACUUGGAGUCCUUGAAGCUUUCUGUCACUGUGAAGGUUGUGCUGAUGGCAAAGUCCCACGUGUGUGAGUUCUGUGAAGGAAUGCUUUGCCAGGAAGGUGGUGGCUGCCUUGGAUCACGUUGCAUCCACUUGCUUACACCUUCACCCUGGCUGGCAGUGGGAUUGAGGAGGAACUGCAGACUUUGAGGCAGUAUUUGGAGCCCCUUGUUCAGAGGGGCCUGAAUGCAGCCUCCCCUCUCCAAAUCCACCACCAGCUGCUCAGUGAAAGGGGCUGUUGUUUCUCUCUCAGUUCCCUGCCUUGCAGAGCCUGUGUCCCCCCAGCAGUGCUCCUUGUGAUGCCACAGUAGUCACAAAGUAGGUCAAACACCAUCUAAACCCUGGCUUGAUAUCCCUUGAGCUAAAUUCCUGCCCUGCCUGAAUGUGCCCCAGAGGGGGUUAAGAGUCAUGGCUUAUGGGCAGCUAAGAAAGAUGAGCAGCUUUGCAGUAGGUGUGUAAACAGCUCUGGGCAGCCUGGGCUCCCUGCCCUGCCAUCCCGGCUCCCUGCCCUCCCAUCCUGGGCUCCCUCCCCUGCCAGGCCAGUCCUGGCUUAUCUCGCCCAGGGAAGUGUCCAACCCAUGUGCUUUCAGGGAAUUAGUAAGGUUGGAAAAGACCUCCAAGAUCAAGUGUAACCUUUGACCAAACACCACUGUGCCGGCUAAGCCAUAUCAGGAAGUACUACAUCCACUGAUUUUUUGGCCACUCCCAGGGAUGGUGACUCCAGCACUGCCCUGCUACUCCCACCAGGUGAUUGGUGACACCAGCUCUAGCAGGGCUGAAGAGGGUGAGAACCUCGGGCCAUCCUGGCUCACCUGAACCUUGGUCCAUGUGUUACAUGUUUCACCUCUCACUUCUCUGGGUGCUGCAGCCAUGGGGUAACACCAGUGCUGUGUGUAGCAGCAAUUUGGCCAGCACCUCUCUGACAAGGGCAACAACAAAACACCUGGACAACUGAGUUAUUUCCCUCACAUCCCAAGCCCAGAGCUUUGGGAAACCUCAGUGAAAGUUACAGGAAUGUUUGUCUGUGGCUGCCAGCCUGUCCUUCAUGCUGUCAGUGGAAGGGCCCAGAUUAUUUGUGUGUCUCAAGAUUCUUUUGAGUCUCUGCAGAUGAAAAUCUGUUCUCCUGGUGAAUGCAGUGGUGACUCAGCACUAGGGAAGGAGGGAAGAUGACCUUAGGAAAGUCUUUUUACCCCUGUGCUCUGGAGAUGUCCAGGAAAGGAAAGAAGAUUGAGUGGGGAAAAAUAUUAGCCCUUAGCAGAAAGAGGCUUUAUGAGGAGCCCAGAGCUUAAUGCCAGGGUGAUGCUUCAGGUUUUAGCUUUUCUAUGUUUCAGAUUCUGUGCUGCUUUAGUGUGUACUUCUGAACUUCAUAUUAGAAGAUAGCGAGUUCUCUUCACAGAGCAGAGAGACAAAACAAUUCCUGCUCUAGCUGGGGACCAAGGACAAAUGAUCCAAAUCUCAGGCCCAAGAGCACAAACAACGUGAAGAGAGAAAACCAAGAAGGAUGGGAUUUCAUAAGCUAAAGCUGUAACUGGACAAUUAACUCCAAUAAGCAAAUGGACCAGAACUUAUAAAACUGAGAGAUCCCAUGACCAGUUGUGCAUUUUGUGACCAUUUUGAGUUCACCUGGGGUGUAGCCCUGGCUGGGCUCCUGUGAUGCCCAAGGUGGAUCCACUGAGGCCUCCUAAUAAAUCCCUGCUUUAUUCUUUAGCUCUGUCUAGUCUCUGUUCUAGGUCAGCCUUCCCAAGGCAUCACAGGGAGGGCUGCAAGCUCUGGGGUCUGGCACACAGCAGCCUCAGGCCUUGCUCCCAGCUCUUUCUGCAGGAGACAGCUGGAGCUGCAGGAGUUUCCUUCCUGCCCUUCCAGGGUCAGGGGUUGCAUGAGGAGAAGAACAACCCAGGACUCUGGCAGGUGUGGAAGUGACAAUUCCAGCAGUAGAAGAGUCAGCCCUGCAGCAGCAGCAGCUACAGUAGAAGCAACCCCUCCCUGCUACAGGCCUAUGGAGAAUGCAGCACAGAAGGUGACAAGUGACACCCUCUGAGCAUCCCAGUGACAAUGGGCCAGCAGCAGCAAAGACCACCGUAUUGGGGCACAUCUCUAAGCCCAGCCCUGUUCUGGUUUUGUCCUGGUCCCCCCAGAGGGACUGUGGCUGGUGUUGGUCACUCCUUUUAUCUGCCAGUGCGUGGCUGUGGCUGAGCUGCAGCUGGGAACCCAGCCAGGGGAAAGCAGCUGAUUCUCCUUCAGAACAGAGACUUGCACAUUAAUAAAUGUCUCAUUACAGAUGCUUUCUUCAGCCUCUUGGCUCUCAUUUCCUCUUUCAGCUUCCCCAGCUUUCUCUCCUGCUGGCUGGAAAGCUGCCUGUCUCCUGUGAGAGCUAAGGAAUGUUGGAACAGGGCCUGGUGUAGCUCUGUCCUUGCAGGUGAGGUGCUGGACAAGCCAUGUAUUUUCUUCAGUGUGUCCUGACAUCCCAUGUCCUGCUCUGGCUCUAUUUCUGUAGAUCCUGCUGUGGCUUCCAGGGACAUGUUUGAGUCACUUUGGAAAACACCUGCCAACUGUCAAAACCAGCUGAGAGGAGAGGAACCACUUCCUUGGGGUAACACAGCUCAGGGCAGGGCAGUUUGUUCACUGAACUCCCAACACGAGAAAAUGCUGAAUAAGCUCCUGAAAACCCACAAGAAAUGGUCGGUUAGGAUGAAAUUCUCUUUUCCCAAAGCAAGUGCUCCACUAUUACUCAGAAAGAGCCACAGCCAGGAUGGGGGUGGGUCAGGGCUCCCCCAGUGCCUGCUGAGGUUUAGGAUUGUUCACUGGGGCUUUCCACAGUGACACAGAACCCCUGAACUUCUUCCCACAGCCCUGGAGCAACCCCUGAACUUCUUCCCACAGCCCUGGAGCAACCAGUGCUGCAGGAGCAGGAGAGCCCCUCCAAACCACAUCCCUCCCUGCUCUGCCUGCAGCUGCUGCUGCUGCUUGAGUCAGUUCCUGGGGAAGAGCAAACCAGCAAGGCAGCUUGUUCUGCCUGCAGCACCAGUCCAGGGGCAUGGACAGAGCCUGACCUGCUGCAGAAAAGUUCUCAUUCAAAGCCUGGCCCCAGAGCAGCAAGAGCCAUCUUUGCUUCAGGAUUUUGGGAAUGAGCUCAGCAGGGAAGAAGUGCACAUGGUGCAGGAAGUUUUACCUGAACCUUUGGG